GGCGGCGUGCCUAAUACAGCAAGUCGACGCUUUUUCUUUCACCGGAGCUUGCUCCACCGAAAGAAAAGGAGUGGCGAACGGGUGAGUAACACGUGGGUAACCUGCCCAUCAGAAGGGGAUAGCACUUGGAAACAGGUGCUAAUACCGUAUAACAAUCGAAACCGCAUGGUUUCGGUUUGAAAGGCGCUUUUGCGUCACUGAUGGAUGGACCCGCGGUGCAUUAGCUAGUUGGUGAGGUAACGGCUCACCAAGGCAACGAUGCAUAGCCGACCUGAGAGGGUGAUCGGCCACAUUGGGACUGAGACACGGCCCAAACUCCUACGGGAGGCAGCAGUAGGGAAUCUUCGGCAAUGGACGCAAGUCUGACCGAGCAACGCCGCGUGAGUGAAGAAGGUUUUCGGAUCGUAAAACUCUGUUGUUAGAGAAGAACAAGGAUGAGAGUAGAAUGUUCAUCCCUUGACGGUAUCUAACCAGAAAGCCACGGCUAACUACGUGCCAGCAGCCGCGGUAAUACGUAGGUGGCAAGCGUUGUCCGGAUUUAUUGGGCGUAAAGCGAGCGCAGGCGGUUUCUUAAGUCUGAUGUGAAAGCCCCCGGCUCAACCGGGGAGGGUCAUUGGAAACUGGGAAACUUGAGUGCAGAAGAGGAGAGUGGAAUUCCAUGUGUAGCGGUGAAAUGCGUAGAUAUAUGGAGGAACACCAGUGGCGAAGGCGGCUCUCUGGUCUGUAACUGACGCUGAGGCU
rnacentral:rRNA from 1 species